rnacentral:rRNA from 1 species
GAUGAACGCUGGCGGCGUGCUUAACACAUGCAAGUCACGGGGGCGUGGAGCAAUCCAGUAACCGGCGAACGGGUGCGUAACACGUGAGCAACCUGCCGUACUCAGGGGGAUAGCCGGGCCCAACGGCCGGGUAUACCGCAUACGUUCUCGCAGGGGAGUCCCUGUGGGAGGAAGCCUCCGGGGGAGUACGAGGGGCGUCGCGGCCUAUCAGCUAGUUGGUGCGGUAACGGCGCACCAAGGCGACGACGGGUAGCUGGUCUGAGAGGAUGGCCAGCCACAUUGGGACUGAGAGAC